UACAGAGGUCUCAAGCGUUGUUCGGAUUCAUUGGGCGUAAAGGGUGCGUAGGUGGCGGGGUAAGUCGGAUGUGAAAUCUCGGGGCUCAACCCCGAAACUGCAUUCGAUACUGCUUUGCUAGAGUACUGGAGAGGAGAUCGGAAUUUACGGUGUAGCAGUGAAAUGCGUAGAUAUCGUAAGGAAGACCAGUGGCGAAGGCGGAUCUCUGGACAGUUACUGACACUGAGGCACGAAGGCCAGGGGAGCAAACGGGG
rnacentral:rRNA from 1 species